ACAUUUUGAAAUGGACAAACUGGACAUGGUUACAAAUAUAAUCAGUGUUGCUGUCGUCUCACACCAUCUAGUUUCAGUUAAAUCUAAGAUGUUAUCACUGAUCCUCAGUGAUAACCCUCAUCUUCUCAACACUUGUAGUUUCAGGGCCACCGAUCCGCCACGGCGCAGUCACUGUUUAACAAGCAAAUGGCCGAGCACGUCUGGCGGGCAGAAAGGUCAGGGUUAUUGAAUAUCUCACUUCCUGCCCUUUCCCCAUGCCACUGCACAGCCAACAAGAUGGAAACGUUAAAGAAGAUUUCAGCGCUCUGACAGGCACGGGUCACGUCACCCGAGAGCGGCUGCAAAUUUUCCAUUUCAAGAAAUCCUCAAUGCCUUCAUUUGCCUUUGAGGGUGUGGAAGCAUGCAGCUCUGUGAUGAUGUGCAUCCCCAAGACGAACCGAGUCUUCAAAACCAGGAGGUGUGUUGACAUGUUUGGCCAGAUCUCAGCAGCCUUCAAACCCCAGACAAUGUGGGCAAGCUGAGCACUGACCCAAGACCAAUAGUACCUGCAUGUGUCUAAUAAGGCCUAUUGGGGGUUUGCUGCAAACCCUAAAAUGAACCUGAAAUGUACAAAUAGAAAACCUUGUUGGAAUAAAAAAAUGAUGCAA